GACAGAGGAUGCAAGCGUUAUCCGGAAUGAUUGGGCGUAAAGCGUCUGUAGGUGGCUUUUAAGUCCGCCGUCAAGUCCCAGGGCUCAACCCUGGACAGGCGGUGGAAACUACCAAGCUGGAGUACGGUAGGGGCAGGAGGGAAUUUCCGGGUGGAGCGGUGAAAUGACGUAGAGAUCGGAAAGAACACCAACGGCGAAAGCACUCUGCUGGGCCGACACUGACACUGAGAGACGAAAGCUAGGGGAGCGAAUGGG
rnacentral:rRNA from 1 species